rnacentral:rRNA from 1 species
AACGAACGCUGGCGGCAGGCCUAACACAUGCAAGUCGAGCGAAGCCUUCCGGCUUAGCGGCGGGCGGGUGAGUAACGCGUGGGAACGUGCCCUUUGCUACGGAAUAGCUCCGGGAAACCGGGAGUAAUACCGUAAGUGAUCUUAGGGGGAAGGAUUUAUCGGCAAAGGAUCGGCCCGCGUUGGAUUAGGUAGUUGGUGGGGUAAUGGCCUACCAAGCCGACGAUCCAUAGCUGGUUUGAGAGGAUGAGCAGCCACACUGGGACUGAGACACGGCCAAGACUCCUGCGGGAGGCAGCAGUGGGGAAUCUUAGACAAGAGGGGAAACCCUGAUCUAGCCAUGCCGCGUGAUCGAUGAAGGCCUUAGGGUUGUAAAGAUCUUUCAGUGGGGAAGAUAAUGACUGUACCCACAGAAGAAGCCCCGGCUAACUCCGUGCCAGCAGCCGCGGUAACAC